rnacentral:rRNA from 1 species
UUCAUACUAUUUAUAGUGAGACUGCGGAAGGCUCAGUAAAUCAGUUAUAAUCUAUUCGAAAGUAACACCAUUGGAUAACCGUGGGAAAUCUAGAGCUAAUACAUGUACUAAAGUCUGUGCGCAGUAAUGUGUAUGGAUUGGCAUUUAUUAGAUCAAAACCAAAUGUUGAAUGGUUAGUGUAUGCCUCAACCACAUAUAUGAAGCCAUUCAGCAAGGUGAUUCUAGAUAACUAAGCAGAUCGCAUGACUUUAUGUCGGCGACGUUUCGAUUGAAUUUCUGCCCUAUCAACUUGUUGGUAAGGUAGUGGCUUACCAAGGUUGCAACGGGUAACGGGGAAUCAGGGUUCGAUUCCGGAGAGGGAGCCUGAGAAACGGCUACCACAUCCAAGGAAGGCAGCAGGCGCGCAAAUUACCCAAUCCAGACAAUGGGAGGUGGUGACCAGAAGUACUAAGUGGUAGACAAUGUCUACUAAUCUUGGAAUGAGCUUAAAGUAAAAAAUUAGUCGAGUAACUACUGGAGGGCAAGUCUGGUGCCAGCAGCCGCGGUAAUUCCAGCUCCAGUAGCAUGUCGUAAAGUUGUUGCGUUUAAAACGCUCGUAGUUGGAUCAUUCGAUAUGUGUUGGUUAAUUUGCUUGAAUGGGCGUUAAAUCUUCCAUUUUAUAGCGGUAGUUGACUCUACAGCUGUAGGUGGUUUAGAGUCUCAAUUGAAGUAGAUUUUUAGCCAGCAUGUAUUUAUUAUACGUAAGGAUGGUGAUUGACCUUGAGUGCGUCGAUUAUUAUGUCUUACGAAGUGUGCCUUGAAUAAAUCAGAGUGCUUAAAGCAGGUAUUGCCUGAAUGUUACAGCAUGGAACGAACAAUAGUGUUACGUAUACUUAUCUGUAUGUUGUGAUUAAUUUCACCUAUGGAUGUAUACAUCACCAACCACCUUUGCGGAUGUUGGUUUCCGUAUUGGGGUGAUGAUUAAAACGAGCGGUUGGGGGCAUUGGUAUUUGGCCGCGAGAGGUGAAAUUCUUGGACCGGCCAAGGACUAACAAAAGCGAAGGCAUUUGCCAAGACCGUCUCGAUUGAUCAAGAACGAUAGGGAAAGGUUCGACAGAGAUUAGAGACCUCCUUAGUUUUCCCUGUAAACUAUGCCGACCCGGGAUCAGUUUAGAGCUAAUAAUCAUGCUCGAGGUUGGUCCCCCUGGGAAACCUUAAGUUUUUGGGUUACGGGGGGAGUAUGGUCGCAAGGCUGAAACUUAAAGGAAUUGACGGAAGGGCACCACCAGGGGUGGAGCCUGCGGCUUAAUUUGACUCAACACGGGAAAACUCACCGGUUCAGGCGGUUAAAAUGAUUGACAGACUAAUAGAUCUUUCAUAAUAUAAUCUGUAGUGGUGCAUGGCCGUUCUUAGUUCGUGAAGUGAUUUGUCAGGUCGAUUCCGGUAACGGACGAGACCAAGGUCCUCAUUUACUUCACCAUAUAGUUGGGUGGUAACACUCAACUCUGUUAUAAUAGUACGUUUGGUGGCUGUAACCCAGUUAUCAUUCGUAUCGAAUUAUACAAAUAUGGUGGUACUGUGUGCGGAAACGUAUAUAGUUGCAUGAGGAGACUACUGACUAUAAUUAUAAAAUCAGAGGAAGUUUGGCAAUAACAGGUCUGUGAUGCCCUUAGACGUACCGGGCUGCACGCGCGCUACAAUGAUGACGACAGCGAGCUAUCUGGGCCGAAAGGCUUGGGAAAUCUUUUAAUCGUCAUCGUGAUGAGGAUUGUCCAUUGUAAUUUGGACAUGAAAUAGGAAUCCCUUGUACGUGCACUUCAUUUAAAGUGCAUGGAAUGAGUCCCUGCCCUUUGUMCACACCSCCCGUCGCUACUACCGAGUGAAUCGUGUCAUGAUGCGUUGGGACAGGACGCCGUUCGGA